UCCUCCCCGCGCCCGCGGCCGCGGUCCUUCGCGGGCCUGCGCCUAUCCGCGCCGGGGAGUCUGCGGGCGCCGCGGCCGCGCGGGCUCGGGCGCCGGCGGCGGGGGGUGGCGCGCCUCCGGGGUUCCUCGGGGGAGCCGCUGCGCCCGCGGGAGGCGGCCGGGCCUCGAGACCCCGGCCGCUCCUCCUCGGGCCUCGCGCGGGGAGCCUCGGUGCUUUUCUGACGUGGGUUCCCGCCCGGUGCUUUUCCUGUCCCCCUAGCGCACAGGAGGCCCCUGUUAGCCAGCGCUUGGCAGGCGUUAGGUAGGUCGUGCUGUAGGCAGGAGCGCCGGAUCGCGGUGUUGUCUCGGGAGGACGCUGUUGCAUCCUUGCAGAGCUAGACACCUGCUGUGGUUUGUGUUUUCUUUUCUACCGAAGUAAUGAAGUUGAAAGUCCACACUGGCACAAUCGUAGGGCUGUGCAAUCCUUUGCACUUCAUUUCAUAGGUUCAGUGUAUCUUUGCCUGCCUACAUCAAUCUGCAAGGGAGUUGCAGAAAAGCCUCAUGUUCAUCGAGCCGUUGGGCAAGAAAACUUUUCCUUUAAAACUUUUCAACAGCGGGCAUAAAAUUCUGCAGCUGAGGUCUUGAAGAAUGCAGAUGGGUACAGUAUGUGUUGGAACUCACAGUGUGUAUUGACUAACCUAGUUCCUUUCUGCUUUUUUUUGGUAUUGUCUUGUUUAAAGUGACUCCCAGGUGCCAACUCUUUUUUAAGGGUGGGGGUGAAAGAGGGAUAGGUAGCCCAGGUCUAGAUUAUUUAUCAGUCAGCGGUAGAGUUUGAAAGCUUCUUCACGUAAUUUUGGGCAAAAUACUGCCUGCACGUUUGUCCAUGGCAAAACGAUCAGAUUAAUAAGUAGCUCUUGUUGGUGGAAACUACCAGCUAUAAGUCAUACGUGGUGAUUCAUGGCCCUCUGAUAGCAUGAGUUUUGGUAGCUCAUUGCCCACAUGUAUGUGGGGGGCUAAUGGCCUUUUGGUGCUCAGCAUUUUACUUCUGACUUCUUGACUUCUUUGGCACAAUGAUGGAGUCAGAUCUCAUUAAGUGUGAUUCUUCAUGACAUAUUUAGCAUCAGAAAACAUCUGUGUUCCGCUCCAGUCGUAAAUAUCUUUAGGUCAGCUUUUCAGUGUAUUUGCUAGUCUGCAAAUCAUCCAGGUGAAGUGUUGUACCACAGAUGCUUUUGUGCUUAAGGUGAUAAUACUGUCUUAUUUAAAAGAACAAAUGAA